rnacentral:rRNA from 1 species
GAUGAACGCUAGCGGCAGGCUUAACACAUGCAAGUCGAGGGGUAGAAGGAGCUUGCUCCUUUGAGACCGGCGCACGGGUGCGUAACGCGUAUGCAAUCUACCUUUUGCAGAGGGAUAGCCCAGAGAAAUUUGGAUUAAUACCUCAUAGUAUGUGAGGAUGGCAUCAUUUUCACAUUAAAGUCACAACGGCAAAAGAUGAGCAUGCGUCCCAUUAGCUAGUUGGUAAGGUAACGGCUUACCAAGGCUACGAUGGGUAGGGGUCCUGAGAGGGAGAUCCCCCACACUGGUACUGAGACACGGACCAGACUCCUACGGGAGGCAGCAGUGAGGAAUAUUGGACAAUGGGCGCAAGCCUGAUCCAGCCAUGCCGCGUGCA